rnacentral:lncRNA from 1 species
GAUUUUAAAGGUUGUUGGGAUGAGCACUUGCCUUUGAUUGAGUUUGCAAACAAUAACAGCUAUCAUUCCAAUAUCAAGAUGGCUCUAUUUAUGGAUCUUUAUGGGAGAAGAUGUAGAUCUAUGAUUGGUUGGUUUGAAAUGGGUGAAGUCGCAGUAGUAGGACCUGACUUAGUGUUUAAUACUUUAGAGAAAGUUUAGUUGAUCAGAAAAAGGCUUAGGGUUGUCCAGAGCCGAUAGAAAUUGUAUGCAGAUAUGAGGAGAAAGGAUCUUGAGUUUGAGGUUGGUGAUCUUGUGUACUAAAAAAUCUCUCCCGUGAAGGGAAUGAAGAGAUUUGGAAAGAAAGGGAAACUCAGUCCCCGAUAUGUCAAUACCUAUAGAAUUCACAGUCGUUUUGAAAAGGUAGCUUACGAGCUUGAGUUGCCUUCUGAUCUAGAUUCAGUACACCCAGUGUUCUAUGUCUCAUUGUUGAAGAAGUGUAUCGAUGAUCCAUCUGUAGUUGUUCCCUUAGAAAGUGUAGAUGUUCAGAAUAGUCUUUCCUAUGAGGAAGUUCCAGUCGAAAUCCUUGAUCAUCAAGUUCGUAGACUACGAAACAAAGAAGUUCCACUAGUAAAAGUUCUAUGGCGGAAUCAGUCCGUUGAGGGAGCCACUUGGGAAGAAGAAGCAUAUAUGCAGACCAAGUACCCUCAUCUUUUCCUCCACGAAUCUAGACUCAGUAUAAGGUACUAAUCUUCUUAAGACUUCCCUCUAUCAUGAUCAUCUUCGGUAGCACAUCAUGUUCAUGUCAGUCAUGCAUUCAUGAAUUAGUUUCAUCAUGUAUUACAUGCAUCAGAUAUGCAUGUUCAGUGUGUCAACUCAGUCCUUCAGUUUUCCUUUAGCUUAACUAGUUUCAUUUGAGGACAAAUAAUCCCAAGAGGGAGAUAUUGUAAUACCCUGUAUUUUCCUAGCAUAAUAUAAGUCCCAAUGCAUAAGUAUGCUUAUAAAAAAAAAAUUUGAAAUACUCAGUAAUUUUCAGUUUAGAGCCUUCCAUUGCAUAGGAAAUUGAAUUAUCUUUCCAACGAUAUAAAAUUUGCCCAAAUUUGAUAACCGGGUAAGAAUUUGUGCGAUUUUAAGUUUCAGUCAUAAAACCCCAUCAUUUUAACCCUUAGCACGUCGGGGAGCAGGCCAAGUUUCCAUUUUGGAAAUUCCAGUGAGAGCCUAUGAUCGUGGUGCAUCACGACAUAGGCCAAGUUAGCAUUUGGCAGUCUCCAAUGUCUCUCCGCAAUUCCACCACGUCACGGUGAGGUUCCAGGCCACAAAUAAUGUGGAAACAUAAUUACGCCACAUUGCACCACCGUACACUUUCCCAAUUGUCCGAUUCCAGUGACACGGCGCAAUAGCACCGCGUCGCGCCAGCCCACGAAAUUGGGAAUUUUUCCAGUUUUGUAAUUUUAAAUUCAUCUUUUUCCAUGAUCCCAAAUCCACCUAAACACGGGAUUUAAUACUAAGAGAGCAUUAUUUGUUCACUUUUGCAUUAUUCUCUCAAAUUAAAAUCAACUCUCUUCAAGAACAAAAAACCAUAGCUCUCAAAUUCAAGACCAAUCUUCAAGAAUUCCCCAAGAACUUCAACAAAUUCAUCCAUUAUGGUAUGUUAGCAGUUAAUCCAUGGAUUUCUUUCAUCCAUGGAGUCCAAGUAACCCUUUUAAAUCAUAAAAUUGUGAUCUUUUCAAGUUAUUUGAUUUUAAAAUUAUGAUUUCAUCUAUGAAUCUCUAUGUACUAUUGGUUUUAUACCAUGUUACCAUGAAAUUAUUGUUAUCUAUUGAAUUAAACCAUGAUUUAGAUCUAUUAUGUUGAAUUAAUGCUAUUUCCAUAAGUUCCAUGACAUUCCUAUGAUUGUUUUAAACCAUGAACUAUAAGUGUUUGAUAAAAUGCCUACAAGAGUGAUUGUUUUAAUAAGACCCUUCAUGCAUUGUCCCCCAAGAUUUAGUGUCAUUUCACUAUUGUUGUUCUGAGUCAUGGGGUUAAUGAAUACCCAAAAACUAUAGUUGUUUAUUUAGUCUAUUCUCAGUACAUUACAGAAUAUACUUCAAAACAUACCAUGAGCAUUAUCAAAAUAGUCAGAUAUCAGUCAGUUAAACUCAGAACAAUCUAGUAUUUCAGUGUCUUUCAGUUGGGAGUAAGAUUUAGCACUGAGUGAGUGUAGGGACGGUGGCUUUCCCAUCAAAUAGUCAGAUUUGUUAGCCGCAUUACCUAUACUCUAGAACUACAUAGCUAGCGUAGGAUAUAAGAAUUCACCCAUCAGAUUAGGGUUGACUAUCUCGCAGGGAUCACUAAUCAGUUUAGGCUUAACACCGUUAGUCCUUUGGAAAAUACAUCAAUUUAGUGGAUCCACACAACCAGUGUUAGUACCUAUGGCACAGUAUUAACGCCCUUCCAACUAGGGUUAUAGGUUGGACCCCGAUUAGCACAAAUUGGGGCCUGUCUGUUAGAUGAUACCUCCCACAGUAUCGAUAUAGUCUUAGUCAUAGUCUCAGUUACAGUUUCAGUUCAGUUAUUUAGUCUUAGUGUUACUUGACCAAAGAAUACAAAUUUUACUUAUUUCAGUUUACAAAUUUUACACAGUGCUGUUAUAUGCUUGGUCAUGCAUCCUCAGCAUCUUCAAAUUUCACAUAUCUUCAGCAUCUACAGACUUCCAUGCUCACUCAUUAUUUAUAGACUCCCCAUGUUUUUAGUACCUAUUUAUUACAUGUUUUUUGUUCAGUGCUCCAUACUUUACAUGCAUAUUCAGAUGAUUAUUAUUAAAUUCAUGAAACCAUGCAUAUCAGCCUACCUCAUUUAGCAUACCAGUACAUUCAAAGUACUGAUCGCAUACAUUUUUCUUGAACUAUGAUGUAUCAUAUCAUAGGUUCAAACGCUCAGUUCUCAGACCAUGCUUAGACUUCACUUCUCAAACGAUAAGCAAUACAGUCGUAGUGGUGAGUCUUCAUCAUUCGAGGAUAGGUUAUUUUAUUUUAUGAUUCCAGACUAGUUAGUUAGUUGGAGUUAGUUGGGGCUUGUCCCAUCAACUCACAGUUAUUUUAGUUUAGAGGCUUUUAGACAUUAGAGUCAGUUUUUUAGUAUUCAGACAUUAUAGAUAGUUAUCUAUUUUAUCACCACUUUUCCAGAUUCAGAUAGUUAUUUCUAUAGAGUCAUAUUUCUAUUUUGAAUUCAGUUAUUAAAACCUUAUGGCAUGUCAGUAUUCUUCCACAUUUAUGAUCAUGUUAUCUAAUGCUCACAGUAGGUACCAGCUCAUGGGUUAGUUUAUGAUCCCUCAGAACUGUAGGCACCGUGUGACACUCAGGGUGUACUAUUGGGGCGUUACACACCCACCUUUGUUUGAUGAAGAUAACCAUGAGUUACUUAAUUUUUGUGGUGAGUUAAGAUAUGAUCUGCUUCACGCUAAUGGUGGUUUGUCUCAAAUUGGGGAUCCUUUAAUUAAGCAAGAAGGUAUUAAUUAUUUAUAAAUUGCUUCUUCUUCUUAUUAUUAUUAUUAUUAUUAUUUGUAAUCUCCCAUUAUUGAAGAUACUCAUGUUGAUGAUCUUGAAUCUAAUAGUAAGUACAUGCAUAAGGACACCUUAGUUGAAGUUAGUUUGUGUGACUCAUUUCUGUACUCUAUUUGCUUAUGAUAUUGUACAUUAUUUUGUAGAGAUUGUGUCUUUUUGUGAUAGUGUUACCUAGAGGGAAAAUUGAUAUUGCAUUGGCCCAUGUUCAUGGAUAAUUCUUCUAUUUGACCCUGGUGACCAUUUGGAGUGUGGUGAUGUUUAUACACACAACUUGGUGCUUGAUCAAGACAACAAGAAAAAUUUAAUUGAGGUUGUUGGCGUUUUUCCCUAUGAUAGAAACUUUUUAUUAAGUAUUUAUAAUCCUUGAAGAACCAAAGUGUUACAAGGGAAAGAUCUCCAACAAAGAGGAGUGCUCUUUAAAUAAGGAGAGUAAUGAAAUGAUCCAAGAGAAUUCACUAUUAUGUGUUCUCAUUCUUAACCAAGGAUUUAUGACUUAUAGGUCAAAGAAUGAGUUUUAUCUUGAAAAUACUUUAGAUGAAUUCCAUUUAUGAGAUACCUUUCUUUAUUACUUGUUUUCAUGUGAUGACCCCUUACUUAUAAGUGGUAUCACUCCUAUGAACCCUAGGGCAAAUAUGUCACUGCCGCUUUUUAUAGUUCUUACAUAGCUGCAUCCUUGUUUGACAUACUUGUGCUUAAGCUAUGUGGACCAAAACUUGUAAAUGCUAAGUGAAUUUACUUGUAUGUAGAAGAGUCCAUGGUUGUGGAAUACUUUUGGUCACCUUCAUAGGGUUGGACAAGUUGAAGUAUCAAAUAGGAUUCUUGCGACCAUGCCUAAUACCAUAACUAGAGGGAACCCAACUUCUUGGGAGAGCCAAUUAUUUUGGAUUUCUUUGGUUUCCAAUAGGUUCAUCAUCCCCAUACUAGUAUGACUUCAUUCGUAACCUCACUUCCCUUAGGUAGUUCCUUAAAAAAGAGAGGUUAUAUGAUACAAGCCGAAUUACUCCAAAGAUUCUAACUCAAGGAUAUUAUAGAAGCUCUAGUUAUGAAUAUGAGUAUUGUGAUCUACCAUGAUGAGGAUAGGCAAAAUAUGAGUCUCUUUCUUUGAAUAUUUGGCUCUUUGGGUCACUUUUGGGAUCAUUUGCAUUUAGGGUCACUUUUGGACCCAUUUUGUAAUAAAUAGCCAAUGGCUAUAAAUAGCUAGGUUUAUUCUUUCUUAGACUUGGAUGAUUUUUGAUGAACUUACACUUAAAAGUGUUUCUAAUCUUUUUGGGAGCUUGUGAUUGUCUAGAAACAUUAGUUUUUUUUGGUGUGGGGGGGGGGGGGGGGUUAAUUCCUCUCUCGGUCUUCUUAGGAGAUAGGUGUUUGUGGUAAUCAAAAGGAGGGUCUUAAGAUUUAAUAUAUCUAUGGGUUGUCCUUUCUCUAUCAUCUUAUGUUUGUCUAGCUAUAUAUAUAUCUAUCUAUUUCUCAUUUUUUAUCAUCUUUCCUUUAUCAUUUGAUUUUCGUACAUGUGUUUUGUUUUUGUGUUUUUAUCAUAUCAUUUACCAAAGCUUGUGAUUGUCUAGAAACAUUGGUUGUGAGGGGUUUCAGUUCCUCUCUCGGUAUUCAUAGGAGAUAGGUGUUUGUGGUAAUUGAAAGGGAGGUCGUCGAAUUUAAUAUAUCUUUGGAUUUUCUUUUCUUUAUCAUCUUGUAUAUAUCUAUCUAUCUAUUUCUCAACUUUUAUUGUCUUUCCUUUUCUUAUUGUUUAACUUUCAUACUUGUGUUUCAUUUUCAUAUUUUCUUUCAUAUUAUUUGGUAUCAUAGUUGAGCUUGGAUUCGUUCCCAUGAAUUAAAUCUUGGGUUUGUUAUUGAAGAAAAAUACAAAAAAAGAGUUUCCUAUUUUUGGUUCUUCUCCAAAUUUGAAGUUUUUGAUUUUUGUGAUUUCUUGAGACUCUAGUGAUAGAAUCUUGUUCUCUAGUACUAUUGAGUUCAGUCUCAAAUUUGAGCUUAAACAGAGUUGAUUUGAAGGAUCUACUAUUGCUGAGUUUGAACUUGAACAAAAUAAAAAAUGUGUCUUUAAAUUUGGAAAUUUUGGAGUGAAAUUGAGAGUUGAUAAGCAUUGGGAUUUGUUACAAUACCAAAAGGAUCUUUGAUCUCAAAUUUUGGGUGACCCAAGUUCAAAUAAGGAAGUUAUAAAUUUUUUAAUACUACCUUGAACUCGGAAUUUAUGAAUCUUUUAAUAUUACCUUGAUCUUGGUAUUCUUCAAAGAAUUCAUAUCAACGCGUAUUUGAUACAAAAAAGGAAGAAAGAGAAAGCUUUGGGUGUUAAUACAGAGGAAUAUUCCAAGAGAGAGAUUGCAAAAAGAGCCACAAGAGGACAAAUUUCGGAAGCUCAUGUUGUACUUCCAUAGGGCAUUUUCCCCUGCACCUACUAACAUAGGUCUUUCACCUGUGGAUGCAGGUCACUUUGUGGUUGACAUUCUAGCAUAGUGGAUUAACUUGCAAUGUUCCAUCUGCAAUGGCAGCCCAUCACCUAUGGCCACACCUCACCCAACGCAGGCCAACCACUUGAAAUCAAAUUCUCCUCAGGUUCUAACCUUCUAAUUUCAUUUUAUUGAUUCCUAGUCACUUAUUUUGAUUCCUAGAACUAAUUUUCAAGUAGUAAGAAACUUAUUUAGCUGUUGAUUGGUUCUUGAGUCCGUCUCAUUUCUUUCUUGUCUUUUUUCUUGUAUGCUUUUGUCAUUUAAUUCCUAGUUAACUUCUUUAAUUCAAGUCUUUUAGUUUUCAAUUGAUUCAUCCUUUCCUAUCUCAACAAGAAUCCAUUCUAACUGAUAAUAGCAAAUUGACGCAUCAUAUACCAACGUGAACAAGCAAGAUAAAAAAGUUGAACUAACUGUGAGACAAUCCAUGUAUGAAAACACUAGUGAUUCUGAGAUUUGAUUUCUCUAAUGUUAAACUUUUUUGUUACUUGUGUUGAGUGUCUUAUUUAUAGAUAACAUGACACUGAAAUAAGAUGUCCAACCUAUCACAAGUGGGUAAAAUCUUGAUACCAUUUUGGAAGCUAUCAUGGGGAUGCGAUGAAGUAUGGAUUCUAUAAAUGAAAGGAUGUCGGGCAUCAAGGAGAGGGUAUCAAAUAUGGAUGGAAAGGUGGUAAAUAUGGAGGGACAGCUAAAUUCUUCUAAUGCUACUCCCUAAAACAACCUCCAAGCAACUUCAACCGGCAGUGCCCAAGAAACUUUUUCGACCAUCUCUCCUAGAACUCUAUACCACAUAAUUUACCCUUUUUCACAAGGAAAUGGUCCCUUACCUUCUAUUACUACCGACAAAACUCCAUAACAUGUAGACUGAACACUAUAAUUUAACCAACCACCCUACUAAAAAACUCCUCAAAAUCCACCCUAAGCUCUAAAAAUUCUCACUCCGCCCUAUCAAACACCAUAAAAACUUCUAAACUAUCAAAUGCCAUAGGUAUUUAACCCAUAAGGCCUCAAACAACCGUACUACCUACCCUAUAAAGUGCCACAAGUCCAAACCCUCUUAACCAAAUGCCACUAAACCAAAUCGUAUGAGUUCAAGAAGAGUUUAAGGGAUAUAUAGAAGGAGUUUAUGGGUAUGGAGCUUAAGGAAAUGGUCCAAGGUACCAAGGUAGAUAUGGAGGUUGAGACAUGGUCCUUAACUCUAUCAAGGUUAAUAUUUCUAGUUUUCAUGGAGGUAUUGAUCCUAAAGGAUAACUCAAAUAAGAGUUACAAUGUGAUAGGAUCUUCCAAGAUAAUAAUUUGCCCUAAGUUAAAAAUACAACCUAUGUCAUUGCUCAAUUUGAAGGAUAUUCUUUGACUUAGUGGAGAUCGCCUAAGAGAAUACAAGGGAUUCUUCAUGGAGGUCAUUAUCUACCUUGAUAAGCAAUAAAGGCCCUCAUGAGAAGUAAUAAAGGCCCUUAUAAGAGCUAAGUGUGUACUGGAGAAGUAUAGACAAGGGUUUCUUUCCAAGUUGUACCAUUUAAGACAAGAAGAAAAGAGUUUUGAAAAUUAAUAUGAUGAAUUCCAAAACCAAAUCUUGAAGCUUCAUUACAAUGAGGAUAAAGAGCACACUAAUAUUUGAUUUAAAGUGGGGUUGAAUCAAGAAAUUACUUCUAGAAUGUCAAUACAUAAGUUUUACCAUAGAGAUGAUCUCUUAGAAGUCACUAUUCAUAUUGAGAGAGAUAUCAAGUCAGAGAAGAUGGCCAUCAAUCCUAAGGUAGGAAAUCAAGUGUCCUCAACUUGGAGUCAAGGCUCAGAGUUCAAGAAGUCUUUUAAAAAGAAUGCUCCAAGGUCUCCCCUUGAGAAGGAGGUAAUCCUAAUUGUAAGGGUAACUAAACCUUUAAAUGUCAUGAAUGUGGUAAUCAAAUACGUGAGUUUCCAACUCAAAGAUCAAUUAUACUUCAUAAUGGUGAACCAUACUAGAAAUAUGAAGUGGAUCAAAAGGAAAAACAUAUAGAAGGAGUUAAAAAAUUGAUAAGAAUGCGGAGGUUGUAGAGGAUCCAUGUGAUAGGCAUAUCACCAUCCCAAAAUAAGCUAGCCAACAAGUAUCAUUCGAAGAGGUUUUGACUCAAGAAGGAGAGAUUAGAAUUUCACAUUACUUGGUUAAGCAAGCUAUGAUCCCUUCCAAUUCAAGGAAUCCUUUGAAAAUCUUGAUCUUGAAAAUAAUAAAUUCUUGAAUUUUAGGACAAAUUCUCUUCAUGGAGGAGAGGGUAAUACAAAUUAAAUUACUUCAACAAUUUUUACUCAAGGUAAUUGGUGAAGCGUUAUAGAUAAAAAGGAGUAUUGUGAUCGACCAUGAUGAGGAUAGGAGAAGGAGGAGUCUCUUUCUUUGAAUAUUUGGCUCGUUGGGUUACUUUGGGGAUCAUUUGGAAUUUAGGAUCAUUUUAAGGCCCAUUUUGUAAUGAAUAUCCCAUGACUAUGAAUAGCUAGGUUUAUUCUUUCUUAGACUUAGAUAAUUUUGGAUGAACAUAUACUUGAGAGUAUUUAGAAGAUUAUUGGGAGCUUGUGAUUAUCUAGACAUGUUGGUUGUGAGAGGUUUCAAUUCUUAUCUUAAUCUUUAUAGGAGAUAGGUGUUUGUGGUAAUAGAAAGGGAGGUACUUGGAUUUAAUAUAUCUUAGGUUUGUCCUUUCUUUAUCAUCUUUUGUCUAUAUAUCAAUUGAUUUCUCAAUUCUUAUCAUCUUUACUUUGUUAUCGUUUGAUUUUCAUACUUGUGAUUCAUUUUCAUAUUUUAUCUUAGAUCAUUAUACUAGAGCUUGUGAUUGUCUAGAAACAUUAGUUAUGAUGGGGUCCAAUUCCUCUCUCAAUCUUUGUAGGAGAUAAGUGUUUGUAGUAAUUGAAAGAGAGGUUCUCAGAUUUAAUAUAUCUUUAGGUUGUCCUUUCUUUGUCAUCGUGUGUCUUUCUAUCUAUCUGUCUAUCUAUUUCUCAAUUCUAACAUCUUUUCUGUAUUAUCAUUUGAUUUUUUAUAACGCCCCGAAUCUAGUACCCAGAAUGAUACACGGUGCUCAUGACCCCGAAGGACCACAAGCUAACCCAUAACUGAUAUUUGUACCUGUAUACUGCAUAAUAUACUAAAUAAUAUGGAAACAUGAACUGAAAGGCCAUAAGGUACACAUAACUGAAUUAAAACAUAACAUCUAAAUGGGGUAUGAAAUACCCAAAACAACAAAAAUAACUAUUGAAUAUAAUAGUCUGGAAAGCCUCUAACUGACUGAAUUGUCUGAGUAAGGAGUUGAUGGGACAUGUCCCCAACUAACUCUAACUAAUAAACCAAUUAAUGAGAUAAUAGAGAAAUAAUCAUGUCCUUGAAGGAUGAGGACUCACUGCUAACUCUGACUGCUGAUAUCUAGAAUCUACUGAUACCCUGGAGCUCGUGUCUAUGAACCUAUGGUAUAAGACACCAUAGCAUAAAUACGUCAGUACUUUGAAUGUACUAGUAUACAUAUGAGGUAGGCUGAAUGCAUGGGGUUCAUAUGCAUGAACAAUACUACCUAACUGACUAAUAUCAAUGUGAGAAUACAUGCUUGCAUACAUAGUAACUAUAUCUGAAAUCGUGAUAACAUGAGUAUGUUGAUGACUAACAUAACUAAUGACUGAAUUCUGAUAACUGAUAACAUGGGUGACUAUAUCUGACAUUCCUGAAUCUAAUGGAUCUAGCUGAGUUUUGUACUGUAUCUGAGUUGGUUGUAUCUGACAGUCCUGAAUUCUGAAGAACUAUCUGAGUUCUUUUAUUGAGAAUGAUACUGAGACUGUGGGAGGUAGUCAUCUAACCGACAUGCCCAAAAUGAUGCAUUAUAGCUGGAUUCGGGUCCAAUCUAUGUCGUGAUUGAAAGGGCAUCAAUACUGCGCCACUGGUAAGGACAAUAUGUGAGUGACCCUAAUAUAAUAGGUAACUCUAGUGAGAAUGGUGGGAACCCUCAUAUAGCAGGCUAAUCCACUUCAUCUAGCCUCAUAUAGCAGGCUAUGAUGUCUCAACCUAUGCUGGCUACAUAGUUCUGGAAUGCAAGGAUUGCUUCUAAGAAUCACACCCUCAUAUAACAGGUGAGUUCCCAUCCUUGGAUUCGCUCAGUACUGAUUUCUACUCCCAUCUGAAUAGACACUGAACAUGAUUUACUGAACUCAACAUGGAUAGAGUUACCGAAUUCCGUUGACUAGUAGAAUACUACUGAUAUCUGACAACUGACUGAGUUCAUGAGAUCAUGGAGAUUUCUUGAGUCAUAAGACUGUCUGGAGUCUAAGGACCAUAACUUGACUGAGAGUAUCAUGAAAACAUGACAUGGCUCUAGGCACACAGUUAAUGUUUUGGGUACAAGUACCCUUAGUACUCGAUAGAAGGAAACUAACGAAGCAUGAAUUUAUCAUGUACAAGACCCACAUCAAUAAUACAUAAUUUAAUAAGUUGUGGAUUUCAUGAAGUACACGGUUAUCUACUAUCUAAGAUGGACGAGAAUGCUGAUAAUCAUAUCAAAAUCUCAUAUUCUAAUAUCAUGGCCAUUCUGACAAUAUACACAUUUCACAAUAAUAGCAUGGAAACCAUUUAAACAUAGGAGGAUGAAAAGCAUGUCACAUUUAGCUUAUGUCUUGAGCUAUAUAGCAUAAUUUCUACUUUUUCAAGCAUUUUAUCAACCACCUUGCAUGCACAACUUAGGGUAUAAGUGAAUUCAUCAAAUUACACAUCAUAAACAACUAAAUUCAUGGAUUUUACCUUGCAUGGUAACAUAAUAUCAUGAUAAACACACAAAGAUUCCAACUUUAAAAUCAAUCAAUGUCAACAAUAUGAUUAUAAAUAACCCAGAACUUAAAUACCAUGAUUUAUAGAUAAAACAAGGUUCUUGAGCUUCAUGGAUGGAAGGGAUCCAUGAAUGAACACAACGCAUACCUUAGUUCAUGAUUUCGUGAAGAUUGACGUUGAAACUUUCUUGAAAUUGGAUCUUCUAUGAAAAUCCUAGUUUUUUCUUGAGAGAAACUUGAGAGAAGAGAGUGUAUUUUGGGUGAAAAGUGGUUGAAUCAUGUAUUAAAGGGCUUAAAUAGGGGUGGGAAGUUGACCCUUUUAACCCUGGAUGCGUCAUUUAAUUUCAGUGAAAAUUUCUCGAAUUGGACACUUUGCGCGACGCAGCGCUAUCGUGUCAUGUCAAUGGAUUUUGACAAUUGGGAAAUUGAACCCUUUUUUGCAACCUAAAAAUUUGACACGACGCGAAGAAAAUCGCGCUGAGACACUAAAAAAGCACAAUUGCCAUUUUAGCUUGUGGCGCGGUGCGCCACUGACCAAUAUGGCGCUGUUUUACGAUGGGAACUUGAAAUAGACAUAACUUCUUACCUGGUUCUUGGAUUUAGGUGAAUUUUAUAUCGAUGGAAAGCUUAUUGAAUUUACCACAUGACAAAAAGUGAAAAUCUUAAAAAUACCACGUGUACAAAAGUGGAUUUAUCUUUCAAAGAAAGCUCCUAACAUUUUUUUAGAUGAUUUCAAGCUAGGAAAAGGUACGGGGUAUUACAAUAUCUCCCCCUUGAGAACAUUCAUCCUCGAAUGGGAUUGAGAGUGAGGGGAAGAACAUAAACAGACAUACAUAAUGAACAUAAAUAACUAAAACAUGAUCUCAUGACUAACAUGACUGAUAACUGAAUAUAUCAUACUAAACAUGCAUAUCUGAUGCAUGUGUAGAUGAUUCAUGAAUGCAUGACUGAGUGUUCUAAGGAACUAAGUUUCUACCAAUGAGAAUACAUGUCUGAUGCAUAAUUAUAUAACUAAACUGAUACAUGAAUGUAUGAAUGAAUAUGAAAUGGUACUUGAUACCAAGUUUUUGAUGAACACUGAACAUGAAACUGAGAAGCUUAAGGAGAACUGUUACCUUAAGCUUGAUCUGAGUUAGUGGAGAAGAGGUGAGGAUAUUUGGUACGCAUAUAUACUUUUUCUUCCUAAGUAUCUCCCUCAACAGACUAAUUUUGCCAAAGAACUUUAACUAGAGAGACUUCUUUGUUCCUUAAUCUACGAGUCUGAUAGUCUAGAAUUUCAAUUGGAAUCUCCUCAUAAGAGAGACUGUUCUGAAAAUCAAUGCUCUGAAUAGGGACUACAACUGUUGGGUCACCUAUUCACUUCUUGAUCAAAGAGACUUAGAAUACUGGAUGAACUGAGGCUAGAUCUAAAGGAAAUUUAAGCUCAUAAGCUACCUCGCCGAAUCGACUGAGAAUCUUGAAGGGGCUGACAUAUCGAGGACCGAGUUUUCAUUCUUGCUGAACCACUUCACUCCUUUCAUAGGAGAGAUCUUUAGAUAGACAUAGUCACCAAUCUUGAACUCGAGAUCUUUUCUACGAACAUCUGCAUAAGACUUAUGUCGGCUCUGAGCAGCCUAAAGUUUUACUCUAAUCAACUGGACAUUUUUUAAGGCAUCGAAUACUAAGUCAGGACCUAUGAUUGAGGCCUCACUAACUUCGAACCAACUAAUUGGAGAUCUACAUAUCCUACCAUAGAAAGCUUAGAAUGGAGCCAUCCAAAUACUAGAAUGAUAGUUAUUGUUGUAUGCAAACUCAAUCAAAGGCAAGUGCUCAUCCCAACUACCCUUGAAAUUAAUUUCACACGCCCGUAGAAUAUCUUCUAAAGUAUGAAUGGUCCUUUCUGCUUGACCAUAUAUUUAAGGAUGAAAGGCUGUACCGAGAUGAACUUGGGUACCAAGACCCUUUUGGAAUGCUUUCUAGAAGUGAGAGGUGAACUGGGUACCUCUGUCUAAUAUAAUAGAUAAUAGAACACUGUGUAAUCUGACCAACUCCCUAAUGUAGAGUCUGGCGUAAUCCUCGGCUAAAUAAGAGGUAUGAACUGAAAGGAAAUGGGCUAAUUUGGUCAUCCUGUCUACAAUGACCUAAAUUGAAUCAUGCUGAUGACGAGUUCGAGGCAAACCCAUCACGAAGUUUAUGUUCACUUCUUUCCACUUCUAAGUAGGAAUAAUGAACUCCUGCAUAGGACCACUAGGCUUCUGAUGCUCUAUCUUAACCUGCUAACAUUUCGAGCACUUAGCCACAAACUCUGCAAUAUCUCUCUUUAUCCCACUCCACCAAUAGACUUCCUGCAAGUAGCAGUACAUCUUUGUGGCCCCUGGAUGAAUAAAAUAGUGUGCACCAUGCGCUUCUGCAAGAAUUUGUUUCCUUAAGUCAUCUACACCUGGAACACAGAGAUGACCCUGACAACGCAAAACACCAUCUCCCCCUUGGGAGAAAACCUCUACUUUAUGAUCCAGAACUGACUCUUUCAACUUGACAAGGCUGGGAUCUCUAUCUUGCUUUUCUUUUACCUCGAAAACUAGAGAUAAUUCUAAACUACUUUGAACCCAUAUAUCACCCUCAUCUGUAUCGACUAAGCGAAUGCCUAGUCUGGCAAACUGAUGUACUUCCUAAGAUAACUUCUUCUUACUGUCAUCCACAUGAGCAACACUACCCAUAGACAGUCUACUGAGAGCGGCAUCCACUACAUUAGCAUUGCCCGGAUGAUAGAGAACACUCAUAUUAUAAUCUUUUAAGAGCUCUAACCACCUUUUUUGAUGAAUAUUAAGAUCUUUUUAAGAAAAUACAUACUGAAGACUUAUGAUCUGUGAAGACAUCUAUAUGAACUCCAAAUAUGAUAAGGCCUCCAAAUCUUCAAGGCAAAGACUAUGGCGGCUAACUCAAGAUCAUGAGUAGGAUAAUUCUUCUCAUGGAGUUUAAGCUGUCUGGAGGUGUAGGCUAUGACCUUAUCAUGUUGCAUGAGAACACAACCUAAACCCAUUCUGGAUGCAUCACAAUACGCUACAAACCCAUCUGAACCAUCUGGAAGAGCUAGAACUGGAGCUGAGGUGAGUCAAGUCUUCAACUCCUGAAAACUCUUCUCGCAAGGAUCUGACCACUGAAACUUGACUUUCUUCUGAGUUAAUCUAGACAUAGGGGAUGCAAUAGAAGAAAAUCCCUCAACAAACCAUCUUUAAUAGCCAGCUAAACCCAAGAAACUCCUAAUAUCUGAUGGAGAGAUAGGGUGAGUCCAGUUUCUUAACACUUUGGUCUUUUGAGGAUCUACUCUAAUGCCAUAACCCGAAACGAUAUGACCAAGGAAUACUACUGACCUUAGCCAAAAUUCACACUUACUGAAUUUGGCAAACAAAGGAUAAUUUUUGAGAGUCUGAAGUACUGUUCUAAGAUGGUCUGCAUGAUCUCGUUCACUGCGGGAAUAGACUAGAAUAUCAUCUAUGAAGACUAUGAUGAACAUGUCCAAGUACCAUUUGAACACGCAGUUCAUCAAGUCCAUGAAAGCUACUGGGGCAUUGGUAAGACCAAAUGACAUGACUAGGAAUUUGAAAUUACCAUACCGGGUAUGAAAAGCUAUUUUCGAAAUGUCACAUUCUCUGACUCUGAGCUGAUAAUAACCGUAUCUAAGGUUUAUCUUAGAGAAAUAACUGGCACCCUGAAUUUGGUCAAACAAGUCAUUGAUUCUGGGAAGAGGAUACUUUUUCUUGACCGUGACCUUAUUAAGUUGACGGUAGUAUAUAUACAUUCUGAGAGAACUUUCUUUCUUGCACACGAAUAAUACUAGAGUGCCCUACAGGGGAAUGCUAGGUCUGAUGAAUCCCUUAUCUAAGAGAUCCUUCAACUUUUCUUUCAGUUCUUUGAGUUUUGUUGGUACCAUUAUGUAUGGAGGAAUAGAGAUAGGAUGAGUAUCUGGAAGAAAUUUAAUACCAAAGUCUAUUUCCCUUUCGGGAGGAAUUCCUGGAAGAUCUUCUAGAAAGGCAUCUGAAUAUUCAUUCACAAUUGGAAAAGAUUCAAGACUGGGAGUUUUGGAACUAGAAUCCUUAACAUGAACAAGAUGAUAGACACAUCCUUUAGAUAUUAUUUUCCUUACCCGAAGGUAGGAAACAGGCUGACCUCUAAAUGCUGAAGUACUACCCUUCCAUUCAAGGAUGGGUUCAUUUAAGAACUGAAACUGGACUAUUGCGUUUAUACAGUCAACUGUGGCAUAGAAGGAAUGAAGCCAACCCAUGCAGAGAAUGACAUCAAAAUCAGUCAUCUCUAAUUCAACUAAGUCUGCUGAAGUGACUUUCUAAAAUAUCAUAAUCGGGCAGUUCUUGUAUACCCGCCGGGCUAUGAUGGUUUUACCCACUGGGAUAGAGACUGAAAAAAGAUCUUCUAGAUUUUUGGGACUGACUCUAAAAUCAAUUGCUAUAUAAGGAGUGACAAAAGACAAAGAAGCUUCUAGAUCUAGCAAAGCGUAAACAUGCACAUGAAAGAUCUGUAACAUACCAGUAACCACAACAGGAGAAUUUUCCUGAUCUUAUCAGGACUGAAGAACAUAGAGACUAUUUGGGUGUUGCCCACUAGUAGAACUAGAGGUGGCAUCUUGCUGAUUUGGGCGACUGGAAUGAGCUGAGGAGCGAUUCUAUUGACCCUUAGGACCUGGCUUAGGAUAGUCUCUGACUCUGUGGCUUGGCUUGCCACAUCUGAAACAAAUACCACUGCCAACACUACAAAUACCCUGAUGGUGCUUGCCACAAGUCUGGCAAAGAGGAUAGGUGUACGCACUGCUAACAUUACCUUGGGACUUAGAGCCUGGCACUUUAUCCUUGUUACCCUCUCUGAACUUAGGAACUAGAGCACUGGCUGAAGAAAGAGCUGGAACUAAUGACUUAGGAUGGAACUGAGAAUGGCUUCCUCCUUCUGACUUAGGCUGAGCAAAGUUGAAACUACCUGUCUUCGCUCUCUUAUUCUACUUCUCCCUUAUCUUAAUCUUCUGCUCCUCUAUCUGCUGAGCAUGAUUCAUGAACCUGGCCAAAGUCAUGUCACUAUUUAGCAUGGCGGAUCUACACUCAUUAACAACGCUGUAUUUCACCCCUAAAAUAAACUUACUCAUACUUUCCCUAUUAUCUUCAACCACAUGAGGGGCAUAUCUGGCUAAUUGAGUAAACUUAAGAGAAUACUUUUUCACUUUCAUAUUGCCCUACCUGAGAUUGAUGAAUUCUAGCACCUUAGCUUAUUUAAGCUCUAGGGGAAAGAAUCUAUCAAGGAAAGCAGAAGAAAACUCUUCCCACUCAACUGGCCCUGCAUCAUCUUCCCUCUAUGACUUCCACUACUUGAACCAAGUGUGAGCAACAUCCUACAACUGAAAUGUAGCUAGCUCAACACUCUCACUAGGAGUAACGCCCAUUAUGUUUGUAACCUUUUGAACCUGAUCUCAGAAUUCCUGAGGGUCCUCAUCUGACUUAGAUUGGAGAAAGGAUGGAGGAUUCAUUCGAGGGAAAUUCCGAAUCCUGGUUGCAGCUGAAUUGGCCACUGGGUUGGCAGGAACGAUAGCUGGUCGUUCAUUCUGAGAAGUAACUGAGCUAUCAAGAGUAGUGAAUGUAGCUCGGAACUCUGCAUGAGAAAUAUGUUCAUCCUAGGGAUCUUCUUGGAUAGGUUGGGUUCUUUUCUUGGGAGGCACGUUCUAAAAUAAAGAGAAGAAAUAAAUUAAACUGAGAGAUUGACUUGAGAUUAUGCUCACUGGCAAAACAUGAAUACUGAAACAAGGGAAACUGUUCCUAAAACAUGAGCUUACUUGUGUUGUUACAUAAAUGCCAUGGUUCUCUUGGUUUGGUCCUUUGUCAAAGUUCCUUAUGUAACCAAGUGUCCAUAGUUUUAUUUGAGUAUGUACUCUUAUAUAUACUUGGUUAUACCAUAAGAGUGAGUAAUUUAGGGUGUUGAUCAAUGUUAUGCUCACUAUAAGUUCUAUCAUUGGCCAUUUAUUGAUUACAUUAUUGUCACAACCCAAACCAGGGCCUAGCCGUGAUGGGUAUCUCAAGUCCACCGAGAAUCGAAGACUACCUCCUUUGUCUAGUCAACCAGAAUAUAAUAUAGCUAGUAAUAGAAGAAUUCUAAAAAUAUAGCAAGAUAAGCUAAGUUCCUAACAUAUAACAAGAUGGGCAACUCAGAAAGGAAUUUAAGAACUUCAACAACAUCCCAAUCCAUAGUAAUCCACAAAGCCUCUAAAUAGACCAAAACCAAUUUCUAUCAGCACAUGCCCCUAGUGAUAGCAAAGAGAAUCCAAUAGAAGUAGUCUAAGACAUAAAUAAAACAAAACUUUAAAAUGAUAUCCCUUCUGGAGAAUGGAAGUUCACCACUUUAAACCUGACUACUGGCAACCCAAAAAUCCUAUCAUUGUAUAGGAAAAGUAGAAGUGUCUCCGAUUCCCGUAUCUCAUGGGUAUACAGCAUCCAGAGAUGAUUAGUAGGGUGAGCGUUAGCAUGUAACUCAGGGAAGGGAUAAAUUAAUGCCAAGUCAAAAACUACAGUAAAAUUCACAUGCACACAUUGUACAUACACAUAUAUAACAUACUGGGGUAAGAAACAAGGUUUAGCAUGAAUGUAAAACAUUAGCUUGGACUGUGCAGAUGUUCUGUCAUAAUAGUACCCAAAGGCUAUAUGCGCCCUAACUCUCACCCCUGGUCAAGCCCCAGUAUAUGUAUCCACACAAACCAGAGAAUAAUCAUGUGUAUAUAUGAACCAUAGGGACUUAAAAACUGAGUCAUAUAAUAAAGGUGACAUAAACACCCGCUCAUAAAGCAAGGGUUCCUCGAACACCUAGCUAUUUAGACCCCUGUUCUGGCAAACGUGGUUUCCAGUAUUGGUCCCUUGGGACCUCCACUUUCACGGAUUUGAUACACAACCCCCUUUACACCUAAUUAAAAUAUUUAGCACAUAACCUAUUCAUUUAAUUGAGGAUUCACUCAUUAAGGCAAUACCAAGUGGUAUCGUCAUACCGACUAUAUCUUGAAGCAAAUGUAAUCAUGCCUAAUCAAAUAGCCAAUGAUACUUUAACCCACUAACCAAUAGGACUCCGGCACAUUUAGCCAAAUAGAACUCUAACCCAUCAGCCAAUAGAACUUUAAAAUAUUUAGCCAUUUGGGACUCGAACUCAUUUAGCCAUCUAGACUCCCAAGUUCCAUUUCAAAUCAUUCCAUAGCAAUAAAGGGCUUUCAAACCGUUCAUGUUUCAUUAGCUUUUUUAUGUAAUUUCCAUAAUUCAAGAGUAGUUCAAUGUGCAUAUAAUCAUAUUGAAAACAAAUUUCACAGAAUUGGUUGAGGUUAUACCAAUUACAAUAUUCAAAACCAUUAAUUUAAGGAAUCCACGACCCCCAUUCCAAUUAACCAAUCCCAUGCACCUAAACAGUUCAAAACCAUCAAUUCAAAUUGUGAAUCAUUCAAAAAAUCCAUUGGAAAAACAAUUCAUUCAUUGAGGCUCAAAACCCCCAACCCACAUUCAUAAAUCACAAUUUAAUCACAAGAAUAACAAUUGUAAAUACAUAUUUUUAACAAAAUAACUUUGGGGAAGAGUAACAGACCUGAGAUAUAAAGAAUUACGGAGAGAAAUCAACCUUUGGCAUUCUAAUUACCCAUUCCUUGGAAACCUAGAGUUCCUAAUUUAGGGAUUUGAGAGAGAAGAGAGCAUGUAUUUGAUUGUUAAAGUUAUAGAAAUAACCCUCUUUGGGUGUUUCAUGAACGUGGAUCCUAAAUUGUAAAGAAGGGAAAUAACAAGAAUGGCCCAUCUUAAAAGUGUAAAAAAAAGUUGCCCAAUUGUCACGGGUCACCUUAGAACUCGUGACGUCUAGCUACGAGUCAUUCCUAUGGCUCAUAGUCUGAGAAGUAGCUCAAGGACCCCUCACUGUUUACCCUACGAGUCACACACUACGACUUAUGAUGUUUCAUUAUGACACGUAGGGUCCUGGUCGUUGUCAAGGAAUAAACAUAAGUCACCUUUGUUGGUUUGGAUACGAGAAGCACUAUACAACUCGUAGUGUAGUUGUACUCAGGACAGACACCAUGGACAACCUGUCACAACUCGAGACUACCCCCUGGUCAUAACACGGUGCUUAAGGCCACAAGUGAACCCAAGCUAAGCCAUGAACUAGAAUAAGAUGUAAGGUAUGGAAAGGAUAUAAUAAGAUACUGUGCGGAAAAUUAUUUAAUACAUUAUUUGAAUACAUCAAAUCAAUCACAAAGGAUUAUGAAAUGUAGUACAGAAAACAUGACUAACUGUUAACUGCCUAAAAGCCUCUAAACGUGAUAAGUUGUUAAAACAGAUCCCCAACUAACUCCAACUAUGGAAACAACAUCAAUUGAAAUAUGAGAAAGCAUAAUAGAUAGUAUAACUAGUCCCCAUCUGAUGAGGACUCACUAAUGCUGCAGCUGAGUGGUAACCAAACUGACUAAGAGAGAUUGGGGAAUUGAGCAUCCACACCUAUAGUUAUAAGACAACAUAGAGCAAAAGAGAGUAUGUAAUCAGUACUUUGAAUGUAAUAUUACGUAAGAUAGAGACAACUGAGACACAUAUAAGUACUGAGCAUGAAUGCAAGAAUAUGUAGAAUAAGUACAAGACCAAUAAUAAACAUGUACUAAAAUAAUCUAUAAAAAUUAAGUAACUGAAUAACUGAUAAACUAAACACUUGGUCAUACAAACCUGAGCUGAUGUGGUCAGAAUACUGAACUGAGAUUGUAGGAUCUAACAUUUAACUGACAUAACCCCAGUUACAAAGGUUUCAAUUCCUUGCCACAUGUACUAACACUAAUGGUGUGGAUCCAUUAAGUUAAUGUCCUGAAGGAUAAGGUGUCACCCUAAACUGACAGGUGCCUCUAGGAGAGUAUCAACCCUAAGUUGGCAGGAGUACCUCUCAUAACCUACGUUGGCUAUGUAGUUUUGGAACUUAGGUACUGCUACUAAAGGUCUCACCCUAAGCUAGAAGAAAAUCCUUCAUCACAAAAUUUUCUCGAUGCUAACUUUUACUCCCAACUGAACAGACACAGAAGCAUAAACUAGUACAUAUACUGAUAACUGAUUUUCUCAAAUAUGGUAUUCUACAAAUAACAGCACAUCUAUAAUCUGAAUUUAAUGAUACAAACAUAGUCUGAAUGACUUGUAACUUGAAAAUCUAAAACAUGCAUAAACAUAUAGGUAUUGGGUGUUCAUAACCUACACACUAAAUAAUACAUUAAAUAUAAUAACAUCAUUAAAGUACUACAAGGAAACUCAUGAUGCAAAGACCCAUAAACAUAGUAUAUAUCACUAAACUGAUGAAAUCCAUGAUUAAGUGUAUGGGAAGAUGUUAAACUUAUAAGGACAACAGGCUCAUAUGGUUUAAUUUAAAGAUUUGACUAUAAUUCAAGAAAAUUCAUAGUUUACAUAGAACCCUGAGCAUAAAGGGUAAAUUAAACUUGAGAGAUUUGGGAAAAGUUUGGAACUCAAUGGGUGAAAGGGACCCAUUUAUGAAUAUCCCACAUAGUUGAGUUUCUUGAAUUCUUAAAGAAAACUUAGAACUGAGACAUUGGAAGGGUGAAUUUCUUAAAGAAACCCCUUGCUUUUGUUCUUGAAUGGGAGAGAGGAUUGAACGUUGUUAACUAACACAAAUAGGGAAAAUAAUGCUUUUUUUAAUGUUUUAAGUCACGGAUUGGGUGUUUAUGGAGAAAAAAGGACCAAAAAGCCCUUUACCCCUUAAUAAAGGUUGCACGUUUUGCAUCGCAGCAUGGCACAAUGCCUAUUACGAAGGCCAGCCUCCCUGACACACUGCCUAUCAUAGAGGCUAAACUCCAUGACAUGCCUCGUAUAGUGGAGGCUAACCUUCGUGACAGGCUAUAUAUCGUGGAGGGCCACCUUCGUAGUACAUCGAAACGUGGAGGCAUAUUGCCUUCGUGGUCCAAAAUCACCCCAAACCUCUUUUUGAAAAUUAUAAAACUCUCCCAAAUAAUCCUUUUAACAUCACUAAACAUAUUUCAACUCAUAAAUCUAUGUUUCAAAUACGAGAAGGCCAAAAAUAAAAUGUUUGAAAUCUUAGGGGUGUUAAAAUGUCCAUGUCACUUGUACUUCCAUGUCACUUGUACUUAGUAUGAAAUAAUUGUAUUUGGGGGGCCCUUUAAACAUAUGAUGAAUAUCUGAGACUUGUCUAGGAUCUUGCGGGGUAUUAUAAUAUCUCCCCUUUGGGAUCAUUCAUCACCAAAUGAAAUUAUCUAAGUUAAGAUACUAGGAAGGUUGAGAUCAUGCACUACAUACUUAUGAGAUGAAUCAUGAUUAAAUAAUGAAAUAUGAAACAUGAUGCAUAGACUAAACUAAAUUUUUGAACACAUGUUAUGACAUGAGUAUGGUUGGAUAGUUUAGAAAGAAAAUGAGAGAAUCAAUUUAAGAGAAACCAUUACCUCAAGAUGAAUUUGAAUUCACAGAGAAAAGAUGGGAGUAUUUGUCUCACACAUCUACUUCUGUUCCCAAGUAGCUCCCUCAGCAAAUUGAUUUCUCCAUAGAACAUUAACCAAGGGGACUUCUUUAAUCCUCAACCUAUGAACCUAACGGUCAAGGAUUUAAACUUGGACUUCUUCGAAGGCGAGAUUAUCUUCACAUCCACACUCUCUAAGGGCACGACUAAAGCUGGGUCACAAAUACAUUUCUUUAGCAAUGAGACAUGAAACACUGGAUGUAUUGAUGCUAAAUGUGCGGGCAACUCUAACUCAUAAGCUACUAACCUAAAAUGGCUCAAGAUCCUUAUGGAUUAACAUAGCAGUAGUUGAGCUUCCCUUUCUUACCAAACCUCUUUACCCCUUUCAAGGGAGAAAUCUUCAGACAUACAGAAUCACUAAUAUUAAAUUUAAGAUCUCUCCUCAUCAUAUCAACAUAGGAUUUCUGAUGACUUUAGGUUGUCUUCAACCGUUCUCGAAUUAACUAAACUUUCUCCAUCGCCUCAUACACUGAAUCUGGCCCUAUCAAAGUAGCCUCACCAACAUCAAACCAACCAAUAUUGGAGUGAUUUCUAUUGUUGUAAGAAAACUCAAUCAAAGAUAAGUGGUCAUUCGAACUGCCCUUAAAGUCAAUGACACAAGCUCUUAACAUAUCUUCCAGGGUCUGAAUGGUCCUCUAUGCCUGGCCAUCUGUCUAGGGAUGAAAAGCCAUACUGAGAUGGACUUGGGUACUAAGAUCCUUUAGAAAAUCUUUCUAAAAAUGGAAGGUAAACUGAGUACCUUUAUCUGACAUGAUGGUCAAUGGAACCCAAUGCAAAUUUACCAACUUCCUGAGAUAGAGUUUAGCAUAUGCUCAGGCGAAUAUGAAGUAUGAACUGGCAAGAAAUAGGCUGACUUGGUCAUUCUACCUAUAAUGACCCAAAUCAAAUCAUGAUAACGAUGCAUAUGAGGUAACCUUAUAACAAAAUCUAUGUUCACCGCCUCCCACUUCAAGUGGGGAUGCUAAACUCCUGAAGUGUACCACUAGGCCUUUAGUUCUCAACCUUCACCUACUAACAAUUUGUACACUUUGCCAUGAAUUUUGCAAUGUCCUUCUUUGUAACAUUCCACCAAUAGACUUAUAUCAAACUGCGGUACAUCUUGGUGACCCCUGGAUGAAUAGAACAUCGUGAACCAUGUGUCCCCACUAACAUUCACUACCUCAAAUCAUCUAUAUUCGAAACACAUAAAAUACCCUGACAGCGAAGCCCACCAUCUCCCUCUUAGGAGAAAACCUCAACUUUAUGAUCUCAAUCUUCCUCUUUAAACUUAACUAGAAUAGGAUCUCUAUCUUGCUUUUCUUUUACUUCAGACAACAAUGAAGAUUCUGAACCAUGUUUAACCCAUAUACUAUCUUCGGUCGAAUCAACCAACCGAUCAUCUAAUAUAUCAAGAUGAUGAACCUCAUGGACUAAAUCCUUCUUAUCUUCCUCAACAUCUGUAACACUUCCUAUAGAUAGUCUACUAAGGGCAUCGGCCACCACAUUAGCCUUACCCUGGUUAUACAACACACUUAUAUCAUAGUCUUUCAACAAUUUAAGACACUUUCUGUUACAAAGAUUCAUGUCUUUCUACAUAAACACAUACUGUAAACUCUUAUGGUCCUUAAACAUAUCAAAAUGAACCCCAUAAAGGUAAUGUCUCUAAAUCUUUAAGGCAAAGACAACUUCUGCCAACUCAAGAUCAUGAGUUGGGUAAUUAUUCUUAUGGGAUUUAAGUUUUACAGAGGCAUAGGUUAUGACCUUACCUCACUGCAUUAACACACAACAAAUACCCACUUUAGAAUCAUCAUAAUAAACUAUGAACUAAACCUUUUGGUAGAGUCAAUAUUGAAGCAGAAGUGAGUCGAGUCUUCAACUCCUAAAAACUCUUCUUGUGAGAAUCUGACCACUGAAAUUUGACUUUCUUCUGAGUUAAUCUAGACAUGGGAGAAGAAAUAAUAGAGAAUCCCUCAACAAACCAUCUGUAGUAACUGGAAAAACCUAAGAAACUCCUAAUAUCUAAUGAAGAUAUAGGCCUAAACCAGUUUCUUACUUCUUUGGUCUUUUGAGGAUCAACUCGAAUGUCAUCACCAAAAAUAAUGUGACUAAGGAAAGAUAAUUACCUCAACCAAAAUUCUUAUUUACUAAACUUAAUGAAUAACUGGUGAUCCUUAAGGGUCUGCAAAAUAAUCCGCAUGUGGUCUGCAUAAUCACUUUUACUUCAGAAAUUGACAAGGAUGUCAUCUAUGAAGACUAUGAUGAACAUGUAUAAGUACUACUUAAACACCCUAUUCAUCAAGUUCAUAAAAGUUGCAGGAGCAUUCGUUAGUCCAAAAGACAUACUUAGAAAUUUAAAGUGACCAUAUGAGUUCUGAAGGUUGUCUUCGGGAUGUCUCAUUCCCUGACACUAAGUUGAUAAUAGCUGGAACUGAGGCGUAUCUUAGAGAAAUAGCUUGUGCCCUAAAGUUAGUAAAAUAAUUCAUCAAUCCUUAGGAGAUGAUAAUUACUCUUGAUUAUGACUUUAUUUAUGUGACGGUAGUCAAUGCACAUUCGGAGGGAACCGUCUUUCUUGCGCACAAAGAGAACUAGGGCAACCUACGAAGAAUACUAGGCCUAAUAAAACCUUUAUAUAAGAGGUCUUUCAAAUGUUCCUUUAAUUCUUUAAGCUCAUCUAGAGCCAUUCUAUAAGGUGUGAUUAAGAUAGGUUGGGUAUCUGGGAGGAGAUCUAUUCCAAAGUCAAUUUCCCUCUCAAGAAAAACUUUGAGAAGAUCUUCAUGGAACAUUUUUGGAAACUCAUUCACUACUAUAACUAACUCAAGACUCAGAGUUUUAUAAUUUGAGUCCUUCACUCGGAUGAUAUGGCAAAUACAACCCUUGGAUAUCAUCUUUCUUGCCUAAAUAUAGGAGACAAACUAACCUAUAGGCACUGAGGUACUACCCCUUCAUUCUACAAUAGACUCAUAGGUAACUAAAUUUUGACAAUUUUAUUUCUACAAUCAACUGAGGUAUAGAAAGAGUGAAGUCAAUCCAUGCCGAGAAUGACAUUGAAAUCAGUCAUCUCUAAUUCUACAAGGUCUACUAACAUGACUUUUUAAGAUAUUGUGAUCGAGCAAUUUCUGUAUACUCAUCUGGCUGUAAUAGGACUACGCACUAGGGUAGACACUGAAAAAAUUAUGCCAAUAUAUUAGGACUGAUACCGAAGUCUAUGGCUGUAUAAUGAGUCACAAAAGAAAGCAAAGUUUUUAGGGUCUAAUAAUGCAUAAACAUGAAGAUGAAAGGCUUGCAAUGUACCCGUAACCAUAUCAAGAGAGCUUUCCUAAUCUUGUUGAGUUUGGAGGGCAUAGAUUCAACUCUGGUGCAACCCAUUGGUUGAACUAGAGGUGUAGCUCUAUUGAGUUAGGUGACCUACUGGCGUUGAUGAGAAACUAGACUAACAUAAUUAACGAAAGUCUUUACCCUUCUAUCUAUCUACUGGACACUUCUUUAUUUUGUAACCUAAAUUGCCAUACUCAAAGCAUGCAUCACUUCCUUCCAUGCACUCACCCUUGUGGUUUUUACCAUACCUCUUCCAAACUGGGUUUGUGUAAACCACUAUUAACACUACUCUGGGACUUAGAGCCUGGUGCUCUAUCUUGAUUAUCCUAUUUGAACUUAGGCACUGGAGCACUGGCUAAAGAUGGGGUUAGAUCUAAAAGUUUUUAGAAAAAUUAAGAACGAUUUGCACCAUCAGACCUUUCUUGUGAGAAGUUGAAGCUACCAGUUUUAGCCCUCUUAUUCUCUAGUUCCCUUUCCUUAAGAUUCUCCUUCUUAAUCUGCUGAGCAUGAACCAUCAACCAAGAAAGUUCCAUCUCAUUAAUCAAUAUUAUUGUCCUGUACUCCUUGACUACCUCAUCUGACACACCAGAUACAAACUUACUUAUUUUGGCCCUAAAAUCAGCCAGCAUAGUUAAAGCAUACCUCUCCAAUUGGGUAAACUUGAGUGAGUACUUUUUCACACUUAUGUUACCCUACUUCAGAUUUAUAAACUCUUGUACCUUGGCCUCUCUCAACUCAAAUGGGAAGAAUCUAUCUAAUAAGUUCAUUGCAAACUAAACCCACUCUAUAGGCCCUGCCUUAACACCUAUGUCCUUUUUUCACUGCUUGAACCGAGUAUGAAACACUCCUGGUAAUUGGUAAGCAGAUAAGUCAGCACUCUCACUAGCAGUAACACCCAUGAUGUCUGUCACUUUUUGUAGACCAUUAAGAAGAUUUUGUGGAUCCUCCUCAAACUUGGAUCCAGAGAAUAAUGGAGAAUUCAUUUGAGUAAAGUCUUGAAUCCUAUCUACUGUCGUGCUCACCACUAGAUUGGUUGGGGUAAUAUUCUAUUGGUUUUUCUGAGCAGCCAUAGUCUAGUCUAAAAUUGUGAAAGUGGUCCUAAAUUCGACAUAGGAAACAUGUUCAUUUAGAGGAUCUUCCUGAACAGGUAGUGGUGCGAGAUGAUCCCUAUUUCUUUUUUCAUUAUUUCUUCUGGGAGGCAUUUUCUAUAAAUGGAUAAAGUAUGAGUUAGAAAAGGGAGUUCAAUAGAUCUUAAGCUCUUUCGCAUGACAUGAAUACUAAGAGGAGGGAAACUUUCCUAAAAUAUCUCGUAGCCUCUUGCCCAUAAGUAUGGCGCGCUUCAUACCCAUGCCCAAGACUCUACUUAACGUGGAUUUCAAACACCCUAGGACACUUUUAAAAACCUUCUGAUGCGAAGUUUAUCUCGACCCCAGACUAUUUCCUAGUCGUAACACGGUGCUUAAGUCCAUAAGUGACCCCAAGCUAACCUAUGAACUGGCAUAAGUUGUAAGGUAAUGAAAGGAUGUAAUAAGAUACUAUGCGCAAAAUCAUUUAAUACAUUAUCUAAAUAUGUCAAAUCAAUCACAAAGGAUUCUAAAACGUAGUACUGUAAACAUGACUAACUGUCACCUUCCUGAAAGACUCUAAACAUGAUGAGUUAUUAGGACAGGUUCCCAACUAACUUUAACUAUAGAAAUAACAUAAACUGAAAUACAGGAAAGCAUAUGAUAGAUAGUAUAAAUAGUCUUUGUCUGAUGAGGACUCACCAAUGCUACAGCUGAGUGGUAAUCGAAUUGACUAAGAGCAAUUGGGAAACUGAGUGUCCGCACCUAUGUUAUAAGACAACAUAGCAUAAAAGAGAGCAUGUGAUCAAUACUUUGAAUGUACUGGUAUGUGAGAUAGGGACAACUGAGACACGUAUAAGUAGUGAGCAUGAAUGCAGUAAUAUGUAAAAUAAGUGCAAGACCAAGCAUAAACAUGUACUGAAAUAAUCUGUAAAAACUGAGUAACUAAAUAACUGAUAAAUCAAACACUUGGUAAUGCAAACCUAAGUUGAUGUAGUCUGAGUACUGAACUGAUAGGUAAUGCAAACCUAAGUUGAUGUAGUCUGAGUACUGAACUGAUACUGUGGGAGCUAACAUUUAACUAACAUGCCCCAAUAUGAACUAAUCGGCUUCCAACCUGUAACCCCAGUUGGAAGGGUGUCAAUACCUUGCCACAGGUACUGACACUGAUGGUGUGGAUCCAUAAAAUUGAUGUCCCAAAGGAUGGGGUUACACCCUAAACUAACAAGUGCCCCUAGGAAAGUGUCAACCCUAAGCUGGUAUGAAGACCUCUCAUAACCUACAUAAGUUACGUAAUUCUGGAAUUUAGGGACUUCUACUAAAGGUCUCACCCUAAGCUUGCAGGAAAGCCUUCAUCUCUAAAUUUGCUCGGUGCUAAUUUUUACUCCUAACUGAAAAGACACAGAAGUAUAAACUAGUACAUGCACUGAUAACUUAUUUUCUCAAAUAUGGUAUUCAGAAAAUAACUGUGCAUAUAUAACCUGAAUAUAAUGAUACAAAUAUGAUCUGAAUGACUUAAAACUUGAAAAUCUGAAACAUGCAUAAACAUAUAGGUAUCGAGUGUUCAUAAACCACUAGCAUUGAAUAAUACAUUAAAUUUAAUAACAUCAUUAAAAUACUAUAAGAAAAUUCAUGAUUCGGAGACCCAAAACAUAGUAUAUAUAACUAAACUGAUUAAAUCCAUGAUUAUGAGUUUGGGAAGAUGUUAAACUUAUGAGGACAACAUGCUCACAUGGUUCAAUUUCAAGAUUUAACUACAAUUAAAAAAAUCAUAGUUUACAUAGAACCCCAAAUAUAAAGGGAAAAUUAAACUUGAGAGUUUUAGAAAAACUUUGGGACACAAUGGGUAAAAGGGGCCCAUUGAUGAAUAUCCCACAUAGCUGAGUUUCUUGAAUUCUUGAAGAAAACUUGGAAUUGAGGCCUUGGAAGGGUGAAUUUAUUGAAGAAACCCUUUGCUUUUGCUCUUGAAUGUGAGAGAGGAUUGAACAUUGUUAACUGACUGAAAAGGGGAAAAAGUACCUCUUUUAAUGUUUUAAGUCAUAGAUUGGGUGUUUAAGGAGGAGAAAGGACCAAAAAGCCUUUCACCCUUUAUGAAGGUUGUAUGAUUUUACACUAUAGCGUGGCACGGUGCCUAUCAUAGAGGAUAGCCUCCGUGAAACACUGUGUAUUGCAGAGUUUAACUUCUGUGACAUGUUACAUAUCGCGGAGGCUAACCUUUAUGACACACUGUAUAUCACGUAGGGAAACCUCUGUGGCACAUAAAAAAUGUGGAGGUAUAUUGCCUUCGUGGUCCAAAAUUACCCCAAACCUCUUUCAAUAAUUUUAAAACUAUCCUGAAUGAUCCUUCUAAUAUUCCUAAACCUAUUUCAACUCAUAAAUCUAUGUUUCAAACAUGGAAAGGCCAAAAAUAAAAUAUUCAAAAUAUUGGAGGUGUUAAAAUGGCCAUGUCACUUGUACUUAGUGUAAAAUAAUUGCUUAGGGCCCUUUAAACAUGUGACAAAUAGAUGGAAACUUGUCUAGGAUCUUGCUAGGUAUUACACAACCUCACUGGUCACCCUACGAUUAAGGUCCUACAACCCGUCAAUACACCCUACGUAUGAUUGGGGUACUACAACCCGUUAAUACACCUUACAACUCGUAAGGUGAGUCCUAAUCUGGGCAAUAAGCUCAAAGUCAAGAAAUUUUUCAGGAUCAAAUCUGGAGUGUUACAAUUAUGUUAUAGGGAUACCCUCCUUGAUUGAACAUUAUGAUACUUAAUCAUAUGUUAAGUGUGUGCAUCCUUGGCAUGAUGAUAAAAUUAUUGUUUCUAACGCUAACCCUCAUGCCAUGAGGAUGUUACGGUUGUUUAUUUUCUCUAUGAUUUUGCAAAGUAUGGAUUGAGGAUGAAUCUUUUUUCAAGAAUGGGAGGAUGAUACAAUUCAAAUUGGAACAAACCUUUCAAGAUCUAUAUUUCAAGGCAAACACAAUGGGAUCUAAGCCAUGUAUAUCAUAAAGACAUAAGAACAUGUUUGGAAGACCCUUUUUGAGACUUUAAAUGAGAAAUAUCGUGUUUGAAAGGUAGCUUAGAGCAUGAAAGGAUCAACCACGAGAAGGAAGAUCCAAAGUACAUUAUGUCCCUUUUGGCAACAUAAGAGAAAUCACCAAUUACAUGGGUGUAUCGCUAAUUAUACCACCCCUAUCGCCAAAUGUGGCAGCUUUCUUGUUGGGACACUUUUAGUCCCAUUUGUAACAAGCUUAGGCCUAGACUAUAAAUAGCUUGUAUUUAAUUUUUAUUAGGUAGAUUUUAAUGACUCCUGAGAGAGCAUGAGAUCUUGGAAAAGCCUAUGUUGAUUAUCAUUUAGAAACAGUGGUUGCAAGGGAGUUUUGAUUUCUUCGUGGUCAUUCUAACAGAUAGGUGUUUGUUGAUAAUCUUAAGGAAGGUCAUUGGAUUUGAAAUAUCCUUCAAUUGUCCUUUUUACUUAUCUUCUUGUGUAUAUCUAUUGAUUUCUCUAUUCUAUCCUUGUUAUCUUAGAUUCAUACUUUAUUUCUUCAUUUUUUAUAUUUUGGGUCGUAUCAUCCAUAAACAAAUUUGUAGGGCCUACUAACUGUGUGACUAUACCUAAGGAGCAUUUUCUCUUUGCUUGCAUUGAUUUGAAACCACUACUAUAUUAAAUUGGCUUAAAAAGUGCAGUUUUUACCUAAGUUCCCUGCAUGAUUGGUUCCUUCUCUUUGCCUAACUUGUAAUAUUCCGACAAAGAGAGAUUAUUUAUGUUACAUAUUCAAAUUUGAGAGUUGGUUCUUUGUUUUGUCAUGAUUGGGCGGACUUUCCGUCAGAAUAUUUUUCAUGAAACUCGCUCCCUCAUUCCCUUAUUGUUUCGUAGGCCUAGACGAAUGACGUAAUAAUCGAUUAAGUGAAGAGAACUAUGAAAGUUCAUCCCAUGAAGCACCAGGGAAUCAUGCAUUCCUCCUAGGCUUGACCGAAGUCGAAGGAGAUUCUUUCAAUCUAUAUUUUCCCAAAAAAAGUAUAAAUAGAAACCUUAUACCCCUGGGGUAUGGCCUACAAGGAAAAGAAUAGUAACAUUGUAUUAUCUAUCCAAUACUUUUUUCAGAUAUUCUCUCUUCUAGGGAUGCUUUCUCGAUCCUUCUUCCCAUAUUCUUUUUUAUUUGGGGUGAUACGUACUUUACUUGAGUACUACAUGGGUGAUUUCUAUAUUCACAUAGAAUAUUUUGAAAUCUUCUUUCAAGCUACUUCGUCCUUUUUCAUAGAGACUAUCCUUUGUAUAAGUUGUGACCCAUCUAAUGAAUGAGCUUCUCCAGAGUAAAAUCUUAUGGACCAUAAGAAAAGAUAGAAUCUCUCCUGACAACAGCAGUUGAUUUAAUAGCAAAUGGUCGUAGAAAGAGUCUUCCAUUCAAUGCUUCUGAUUGAGGUCGAGACAACCAAGAAAAUAUGUGCUUAAACCUAAAUUGUUGACAAAAAUUCUUAUAUUCAAAUUAUUUAAUAAUGAAUUGAUAAUUUUUUUUUCCUUUUUUAUUUUGCAUUUCUCAUCUAAGUAGCUGAAAGUCACUUAAUUGUAAGAAAAUGAGAUUUGUUCAUUACUUCAACCACUACCGAUUGAUAGAAGAAAGACGUGUGAAUUAGUACAAUUUAUUAUUUAUUGGCAUAUUAGACAUUCUAAAAUAAUCAUUUGGUUGGUCAUUUUCAACACUUCGAAUAGGCGAAAAGAUCUAACAUACUUUGGUAGGUAACAUCACCAAAGUGUAUCGUUAUAUUUGACUAUGAUAGAAAGAACUCAAAUGAAAAGACACCAUCUUGUACAAGACAGUGGUAGUUGGCCUCUAUUAUCUUCUAUCUGAUGUAGUUGAUAAAAAAUCUUUUCUUAUUUUCAGAAUUUGAAUUCGACCGUGACUUCUUUUUUUUCAUUGGGGAGGGGGUGCACGGGGGCAUCAAUUUCCUUGCCAACUUUCGCCUAUCGACUGAGGUCUCUUUAUAUUUAUUUGAAUAUUAUCAAAUCUAACCUAAUUUGUAGUGUCAACUCUAACAAAAGUUUCUCUUUUAAUAUUUUUAUUGUUUUCAAUUGAAAUUUCUUUUAUAUAGAGAUGGUAAUAGUUAUGAUAGUGGACGAUGUUGGUAUUGUUGUGACGGGCAUCAUGAUAGUGGUCGGUAAUAGUGAUGGUUGUGAUGAUGAGGUUGGUUAAUGUCAGUAGUUGGCGGAUAUUGAUGAUGGUGAUUGAAGAAUAUGUUGAUAGUAGUAAACGCGGAUGCUUGCUGUGAUAGUGGAGGUGGCGGUAAUGAUGACAACAAUAAUAAUGACAGUGGAUAUAAUUAAUGAUAAAGGUGGUAAGAAUAGUAGCGAUUGAGAGUAGCGGUUAAAAAUAGUGGUGGUUGCUAGUGAUGGUUAUGAUGGCAGAGAUAUUUGAUAGUAAUAGCUGAUUGUUGGCGACUACAAAAGUCGUUGACAAUGAUGGUGGUUGUAACAUUGAAUAUAAUUAUAAUAAUGGAGAUGGUAUGUACGGUAGUGAUUCACAGUAAUAGUGGACAAUAUUAGAUUGCAGUGAUAGUUAAUAAUAAUGGUGGAUAUGAUAAUAGGGAUGGCUAGUAAUGAUGACCGGAUAUUAUGGGUUUGAGUGGUGGUGAAAUUAUCUACCCAAAAUACCACUUAAUAUAUUUUUGCUCAAGAUCUUAAUAAUUCAAACCUCUUCAGGUCAAAUAAAUGCUUAAAUUUUAAUGAACCAAAUACUUUUAAUAAAUCAAGUCUGAAUUAUUCAAAUUCAAAUUCAAAUAUUCACUAGAUGCAAUCAAAUGAGGACAAAUUAAUUAAAUUUCAACCCCGCAAAAAUAAAAGUUACAACAGAAGUAAAUUAAGAAACCCAUUCUGACAAAUUAAAAUACUAAAAAUUACACAAAUACACAACUUAUGUUUCCAAUAUAACAAAAAAUCUCAACUCCCUAAACAUAUUAUAAAAAUCUCAAUAUAUACACAGAAUGUUAUGUAUAUGUCGGCUAUGUUAUGUAUAUUAAUAGGGAGAAAGAGUAAAGUAAUUAAAAAAGUGAGAGCGAGUGUAAUUACUUCUAGAGGAUUGAUAUUUAUGUUAUUUAUACAUUAAAAUAUGCAAUCGAAUUUUCAUAAAAUCCAAAAGUCAAGAAAAUACCUAGCAAAAGUGCAAAACAGCAUAUAACCAAUUCUCAACUGUCAUUUCAGAAAUCCUUUACAAUUUUAACACACAAUAAUCUUACAACAACAUACCAGCAUAUUUCCACCAAAUGGGAUCCCAUGUCUGGGGGAUAAAUAUACACAAUUCAUACCACAACCUCACAUCAUACCACAACCUCAUAUGUGAAAUAGAGAAGCUGUUUCCGAUAGACCCCCGGCUGAAAAUAAAAUAAUUUAGACAAAAAAUAGUAAAACGACAAGAUACAAUAGAAAUAAACACAUCCAAUAAUACCAUAUACAAGAUACACAAUAAUCAUACUUCUGGAAAAAUGAAACAUACUAUCAUGACAAAAAAACAAAAAGAGAUGGGAAUUCAAAAAACACGUAAACAAAACAAAGGUAACUGAGCAAGUGAACAAUAACAUUUAAAAAGUAUUUGGAUUUGGAUAUAGUGAACUCCCAUUCAAAUAGGUUGGCAUCUCCUUGUCUACAAAGAGGCUCACAAGUCUACAAUGGUAUCCUUUGAGUGACAAGAUUGUAGCCAAAUAUCAUCAUAGACGGAUAAGAAGGUCUUAUGCAGGCAAAACUCAGUUGGUGUAGUCUGUCCUGUCUGGAUUUCAAGCGUAUUGGCCCCCAUUGUUUGUCACUCCUAAUAAAGUGCUGAAACUGAUUGAUUCAUACUCCAAAAUUAUACUUGGGCAGGUACUAACACUAAGUCUAGAAGAGCACUAGUGGCUUGAAAUAGAACUUGCUUACCUAAAUCAGCCGGAGUCGUCAAUCUAAUUAACAUCUUACUUCGGAACAAAGCAAUUAUUACCAUAACUUAUUGGGACCGGCGAAGGAGACAGACAGGCUAUAGAUAAGAUGAAUUCAUAAUUUCAUGUUCAUUUAUAUAUAUAUAAAACCGGCGAAGGAGACAGACAGGCUAUAGAUAAGAUGAAUCCAUACUUUCUAUUUCAAAACUCUUCAACCUGUCACAGCACCUAUCUGACAAUAAGCUUCAUGAAUGGUGAGAACGACCAUAUCAGCAAGAGGCGUACUAGCACACGCUCAGGUGGUAGAUGGUUGCUCAGUUUCUGUCAAACAAUUAUACGCCUAGUGCUACUUAGAAAUGCUUGAUAUGUGAUGACACAGCUAGACCAAGGGCAAUAUUUACAAUGUGGAUGCAGUUACAGAAUAAACUUCCUACCACAGAUAGGCAACUCAAAUGGGAUUAACCAUGAAUCCUAGUAAAUUUUGCCAAGAGACAAUACUAUUUACUGGAGUAUACUAAAGCUGUAGGAGAUAGACUGCUAGACUGACAUGAAUUACAAGACUUUACAGCAACUAUAUGGUAGCAACACCUGAAGUAGGCACAGGAAUUCUAAUGGCAUGUUCCACAAAGCCAAACUGCUCAGUAUGUUUUAUGCAAAAUGCAUUCAUGUGGCAUGGACUGAGAGGAAUCACAGAACCUUUGAGGCAAAGAGCAGAUCAACUCGCUAAAAGACAUUGCCUAUAUGCACAACAUGAUAGCAUCAAAGCUAAGCUUCAGCAAUUUCAGCUUUAGAUUUUUGAUGCUCUGUGUUUCAGAUUUAGAAAGUCGAUUGUGCGGACUUAAUUAUGAAUUUGUACCUUUCUCACUGAUGAUUAAUAAAUACAGUUAGUUCCCAACAAAUAAGAUUCAAAAAAAACUUCCCAGUCAAACAAAACAAACCUACUAUCAAUGAACAUAAAAAGUAAGAUUUUUUACGAGAAUAACAUCCCUGUUUCAAUUGAAAGCCUCAGCUGAUAAGAAUACUCUCCCCAGCCAAAGACGAGAUCAAUCAAGUAGGCAGAAGGUUCAUAUAUAUUGAUGAAAAUAAAAGAACAAAAAGGAAACAUUAGCUUUUGCAAGUCUAAAGAAAACAUCCAUCAGAACAGAAAACAAAAUUUAGAAUACUAACAUCUCAUAUAAGAAAACUACAAGAACAAAACAGCGGAGCAUAACAUCUAACAAAUCAAGCCUCAACUCUCUCAGGUGCUGCCUCCUCAGUGGCGUAGACAAUAACCUUAUUGGCAGGCUUUGCCAAGAUAUCAAAGUACUCUUGGAAUGGAGAUUUUGUGAAGCGAGUCUCUUUCCAGAAGUCUGGAGUGAGGAAGCCAUAAGUCUUCAUUAAACAAUCGAAGGUAGCCUGCAUACAGAAUGAGCGAUAUUAGACUUGAACACAAUUAGUACACCACCAGCAGAUAUACAUUAUAAACAAGUAACAAAGAACCAAGUAGACCCGACUCUAACAUUCAACAAGAGAGGUCAGUGCUGGGAAAGCAAAGAAUGGAAUGUUUGUUCUGUAACAAAGAUUUUAUACUAUAUAAACACCAUCACCCACGCUUUGGAUAGAAAUAACAGCUGGUUACAGUAAAAACUUCAAUUAUAUUGCAGUCCCUUCUUUAAAACAUGCAAUAGAGUCAUAUUAUAGCUUUCGAGGAACAAAAGGCUAAUAUCAAGCAUUGCAGCAUCCACAUUCAUGAAUUAAAAGCAUCCACAUUCAUGAAUUAAACUUAACUAGAAAUAAAAACACACAAGUAUUACAGAAAAUGGUAAGAACUAUAAUGGCACAGGCUCCUGUCCCACAAUUUGACUUGCUUAACACUGCAUUCAAUAACUAAACACACUGUCCGAAUUUAACUGAUACUCUCAAUAUAUCUACCAUUUAGGAACUAACCUAAACAAUUUUGUUUUGGACAAUGACCAUAUUUGAAACUAUAAAAUUCGCAAUUGUUACUAUAUCUGCGCUAUACAAUAAGGACACAAAAGCAUGGAUUAGAUUGUAUUGGUUCAAAGCACAAGAUAAACAUUUCUGUCUCAUAUGGUAUAAGAUUGUAUUGGUUCAAAGCACAAGAUAACAUUUCUGUCUCAUAUGGUAUAGAUAUACAACAAAGAUCAUAUCUAUUUACAAAAUGUUUAACUGGAUCAAACUACCCGGUCCGUCUAGACGCCUUUACAUGUAGUCAUCUCCAUAUUAGCUAUUUCAAAUAUAUUUAAAUCAAAAUGUACAGUUGGUUAAUUUUUUUUUGGUUCAAUGCCGUUUGGUACACCAGAUGGAAUAAGUAGGGAUAUUUAUUAUCUGGUGUAACAAACAACCAUAAAUAUAAUGUUAUACACAUCAAUUCUUAAGAUAUGGUAUCAGUAGAUAUAGUAAACAUAUAAUCAUGUAAUUAAGGAUACCACAACAGAUUAUUAGAACAUAGUAAUAGAACCAACACACAAUCAUAAAAGAUCGAACCUUGACGAAGUUGCCAAGGGUUUUGGUGGAUCCACGAGAAGAGGUGAAGACAUCUUCAAUACCAGCAAACUGAAGAACCUUCUUAGGGACACGAGCAGCAACAAUACCAGCACCACGAGGAGCAGGGACCAUUCUCACAGUGACAGAACCACAUUUCCCAGUAACCUUACAAGGCACUGUGUGUGGCUUCCCAAUCUUGUUCCCCCAGUAACCUCUCCUCACUGGAAUCACUGAUAACUUCGCCAAUAUAAUCGCUCCGCGAAUA